GUCUCUUCAUGCUUUUAUCUAUAGAUCUCUCUUCAGCCUCAGCAGAAGUGAUGUCUCCAAUGGACUCAUCUUCAUCCUCAGAAGAAGUCUCACCCACAGAUAUAGCUCCUACUUCAGAUGAAGCACUUUCUCCACCAGG